rnacentral:rRNA from 1 species
UACGAAGGGGGCUAGCGUUGCUCGGAAUGACUGGGCGUAAAGGGCGCGUAGGCGGCGCAGUUAGUCAGGCGUGAAAUUCCUGGGCUCAACCUGGGGACUGCGCUUGAUACGGCUGUGCUUGAGGAUGGGAGAGGCUCGCGGAAUUCCCAGUGUAGAGGUGAAAUUCGUAGAUAUUGGGAAGAACACCGGUGGCGAAGGCGGCGAGCUGGUCCAUUACUGACGCUGAGGCGCGACAGCGUGGGGGAGCAAACAGG